GACGAACGCUGGCGGCGUGCCUAAUACAUGCAAGUCGAACGCAGUGGGGACGGGUGAGUAACACGUGGGUAACCUCGCAUCAGAGGGGAUAACAAUUGGAAACAGGUGCUAAACUGAUACUGAUGGAUGGACCCGCGGGGCAUUAGCUAGUUGGUGAGGUAACGGCCCACCAAGGCCACGAGGCAUAGCCGCCCGGAGAGGGUGUUCGGCCACACUGGAACUUGGACACGGCCCAGACUCCUACGGGAGGCAGCAGUGGGGAAUCUUCGACAAUGGACGAAAGUCUGACCGAGCAACGCCGCGUGAGUGAAGAGGGUUUUCGGGUCGUAAAACUCUGUUGUUAGGGAGGCGGUACCUAAUCAGAAAGCCACGGCUAACUACGUGCCAGCAGCCGCGGUAAUAC
rnacentral:rRNA from 1 species